rnacentral:rRNA from 1 species
ACACGACUACAUUAGAUACCCGCGUAGUCCUAGCCGUAAACGAUACUCGCUAGGUGUCGGCCACGGUGCGACCGUUGUCGGUGCCGUAGGGAAGCCGUGAAGCGAGCCACCUGGGAAGUACGGCCGCAAGGCUGAAACUUAAAGGAAUUGGCCGGGGGAGCACCACAACGGGUGGAGCUUGCGGUUUAAUUGGAUUCAACGCCGGAAAUCUUACCGGGACCGACAGCAACAUGAAGGCCAGGCUGAAGACUUUGCCGGAUUAGCUG